rnacentral:tRNA from 1 species
UACGCUUAUAACUCAAUUGGAUAGAGUGUCGGAUUUCGGUCCCGGAAGUUACAGGUUCAACUCCUGUUAAGCGUAA